rnacentral:lncRNA from 1 species
AACAACCGCCAUACGCCAUAAAGAAGCGGGGAGCUCGAAGCGCGCGCGCCUCUCCGAGGGAUGGCGGCAAUCACGAAGCAUCACUCCCUUCACCCGUUCCCCUUCUGGUUCCAGGCUCGGAAGUGGGGGGCUACUGUUACGGAGGAACUUAGCCACCAUGCCCCACGUGACCGGCACGCGCGCCCAGAAAGACUACGGCAGCCCCUUGAUCCAGC